rnacentral:misc_RNA from 1 species
AAGUCGUAACAAGGUUUCCGUAGGUGAACCUGCGGAAGGAUCAUUAUUAAAAAACAAAACAUAUAAAUUUAUUUAUAUGGAUUGUAUUAGAAUAAUAUUCUUAAAAAUUUAAAUUAAGUUUUUCUUUUCAGAAUUUUAAUUUUUUUUAAUUUAAAUUAUAAACUUAUAAAAAUAAAAUUUAAUUAGCUGGUUUUUAUAAUAUAAAAAUAAGCUGAAAAAAAAUAUAUAUAAAACGAUUUUGGUCUUUAUACAAGAAAAUAAGUCUUAAAAAUAACUUUUAACGAUGGAUCUCUUGGCUCUU